rnacentral:rRNA from 1 species
AGAGUUUGAUCAUGGCUCAGAUUGAACGCUGGCGGCAGGCCUAACACAUGCAAGUCGAACGGUAACAGGAAGCAGCUUGCUGCUUUGCUGACGAGUGGCGGACGGGUGAGUAAUGUCUGGGAAACUGCCUGAUGGAGGGGGAUAACUACUGGAAACGGUAGCUAAUACCGCAUAACGUCGCAAGACCAAAGAGGGGGACCUUCGGGCCUCUUGCCAUCGGAUGUGCCCAGAUGGGAUUAGCUUGUUGGUGGGGUAACGGCUCACCAAGGCGACGAUCCCUAGCUGGUCUGAGAGGAUGACCAGCCACACUGGAACUGAGACACGGUCCAGACUCCUACGGGAGGCAGCAGUGGGGAAUAUUGCACAAUGGGCGCAAGCCUGAUGCAGCCAUGCCGCGUGUAUGAAGAAGGCCUUCGGGUUGUAAAGUACUUUCAGCGGGGAGGAAGGGAGUAAAGUUAAUACCUUUGCUCAUUGACGUUACCCGCAGAAGAAGCACCGGCUAACUCCGUGCCAGCAGCCGCGGUAAUACGGAGGGUGCAAGCGUUAAUCGGAAUUACUGGGCGUAAAGCGCAUGCAGGCGGUUUGUUAAGUCAGAUGUGAAAUCCCCGGGCUCAACCUGGGAACUGCAUCUGAUACUGGCAAGCUUGAGUCUCGUAGAGGGGGGUAGAAUUCCAGGUGUAGCGGUGAAAUGCGUAGAGAUCUGGAGGAAUACCGGUGGCGAAGGCGGCCCCCUGGACGAAGACUGACGCUCAGGUGCGAAAGCGUGGGGAGCAAACAGGAUUAGAUACCCUGGUAGUCCACGCCGUAAACGAUGUCGACUUGGAGGUUGUGCCCUUGAGGCGUGGCUUCCGGAGCUAACGCGUUAAGUCGACCGCCUGGGGAGUACGGCCGCAAGGUUAAAACUCAAAUGAAUUGACGGGGGCCCGCACAAGCGGUGGAGCAUGUGGUUUAAUUCGAUGCAACGCGAAGAACCUUACCUGGUCUUGACAUCCACGGAAGUUUUCAGAGAUGAGAAUGUGCCUUCGGGAACCGUGAGACAGGUGCUGCAUGGCUGUCGUCAGCUCGUGUUGUGAAAUGUUGGGUUAAGUCCCGCAACGAGCGCAACCCUUAUCCUUUGUUGCCAGCGGUCCGGCCGGGAACUCAAAGGAGACUGCCAGUGAUAAACUGGAGGAAGGUGAGGAUGACGUCAAGUCAUCAUGGCCCUUACGACCAGGGCUACACACGUGCUACAAUGGCGCAUACAAAGAGAAGCGACCUCGCGAGAGCAAGCGGACCUCAUAAAGUGCGUCGUAGUCCGGAUUGGAGUCUGCAACUCGACUCCAUGAAGUCGGAAUCGCUAGUAAUCGUGGAUCAGAAUGCCACGGUGAAUACGUUCCCGGGCCUUGUACACACCGCCCGUCACACCAUGGGAGUGGGUUGCAAAAGAAGUAGGUAGCUUAACCUUCGGGAGGGCGCUUACCACUUUGUGAUUCAUGACUGGGGUGAAGUCGUAACAAGGUAACCGUAGGGGAACCUGCGGUUG